AUUUUACUUUUUUUAAGUUUUAUUGAAAUAUAGUUGAUUUACAACGUUCUGAUAAUUUCUGCUAUACAACAAAGUGAUUCAGUUAUACACACAUCCAUUCUUUUUCAGAUUCUUUUCCCAUAUAGAUUAUCACAGAAUAUUGGUUGGAAUUCCCUGUGCUAUACAGCUAUACAGUAGUUCCCCAUUUUUCUAGUUUAUUUUUAUCACCAAUAAUUCAAUGAACAACACAUACUGAUAUAGUUAUCCUCUCAAAAUUAUUCUUAGGAGUUCUCAUCGUGGCUCAGUGGAAAUGAAUCUGACUAGUAUCCAUGAGGACACAGGUUUGAUCCCUGGCCUAGUUCAGUGGGUUAAGGAUCCAGUGUUGCCAUGAACUAUGGUGUAGUUCUCAGAUACAGCUUGGAUCCAGCGUUGCUGUGUCUGUGGUGUAGGAGGGCAACUGUAACUCCCAUUCAACCCCUAGGCUGGGAAUCUCCAUAUGCCAUGGGUGUGGCCCUAAAAGACAAGAGAAAAAAAAAAAAAGAUUAUGCUAACUUUUACCCUCACCAGCAGUAUAUGAGUGCCAGUUUCCGACAUGUUCCGCUUUGAAAAAAAAAAAUUUCUAAUAUAUCAGAAGUAUGUCAAAAUCAUAUUUCGUUGUCGUUUUCAUUUGCAUGUGUUUGAUUAUUAGUGAAACUGACCAUCUUUUCAUGGGUAGCAGACAUUGUCAGGCCUUCCAGUGUUUGUCUGUGUCUACCUCUACAGCCUCUGGCUACUUACUCCACAGCUGAGAGCAAGUCUUUGAUUGCAUAGCAGUGUGGGGCAGUUGGGAAAGGCCAGGGAAUUAAUAUCCCCAGGAGCAGCCUCAACUAAGUUGAGGGAUAGAUACCUCAAUGCACCCCUUAGGUGGUGUUCCACACUAUCUCCCAGAGUUCCAGUAGGACUGAGCCCCAGCUGCCCACAGAGGAAAUGACUUGAUGACUCAUCCUUUCCCUGCCUCACUCCUCUUCCUAUCCAUGGUAUCAGCUCCCAAAUUAACUACUUGAACUUGCAUCCUUACCUCAGGUCUUAUGGACUGGGGAACCCAACCUAGACAAUAUGAGCUUUUUCGCCUCUUACUUAGUCAAUUAUCUGAUCAUCCAUACUUUUUCCCCAUUUUAAUAUUGGAGUUUGAAUUAUCUAUUUUAAAUAUUAAGAAGAAAGAGAUAUUUACAGAAGGCAAUCAUGAUGGAUCACAAACCAGGCCAUUAAUAAAUUUAAAUUAACACCAAUUGUCUUAAUAACCACAUUAAGAUUUUGGAGUUUUCUUGUGGCUCAGCAGGUUAAGGAUCCAGCGUUGUUACUGCAGCUCCAGUCACUGCUGUGCUGUAGGUUUGAUCCCUGGCCAUGACCGUGUGUGGCCAAAAAAAGAUUUAAAGUAUUACAAGUUACUAAUAAUAACUACUACAUUCAAAGUAAUUACCCUCUCUUUAUAUGGAGUUCAAGAUUUUCUUUAUAAAUGAACUAAAAUGUAGAAAAAUGGAAAAAACUAGCAAGCUAUGGAGAGGAGAAUACUUUAGCCAACAUGUACUAAAUGUGUUGAUUGAGUGCUAUGAGAAAAACUAAAUUCAACAAUGUAAAUACACUCAAAAUAGAUUGGCAUCAUUUUUAGGGAGAAACUAGGGUUCAGUGGGAUGUCUGUUGAGAAGAUUUAGAAUGGAGAAACGUUUUGGGUCAAAUGACAUUUUCUAGUAUCUAAAAUCAAUAUGUUGUUAAUUAAAAUACCAAUCACCCAAGAAACAGUAAACAAUGUUAAACUAAACUGGAUCAGAGCCCAGAAAGUCAGCCUGACUAGGGGUGCACAAAACUAGGAAGAAAAAAAAAAAAAAAAAAACCCAAACCAAACAAAAAGCUUUCAAAAGCAACUAACCAUUUGAAAUGGGAGGAAAGGGCAGGGAGGGGAUACAGAAAACAAAAGAAAAUGGCCAGUUUGCAUCUUGCUCUGGGCCAGGAAUCAGACAGAAUUGCUCCAACAGAAUCUUUGUAGAGGCCUUUCUUCCAGCUACACAAUUUAAACAUUUGCAAAGGUAAAAUGAAGACAGUCUAGACAACCUAACUUGCCUUGUACAGACAGUGAAAGUUUUUAAAUAGGAUAUACAAUACAAAUCCACAAGAGUCAAAUUUAAACACCUCUUCAGAAUUGUGACUACCCUCACAUUUCAUGCUACCUCCAGAAGAGUUAACUUCUUUUUCUUUUUUUCUUUUGGCUGCAACAUGCAGCACCUUGAUGUAGGAUCUCUGUUCCCAAACAAGGGAUUGAACCAAGGCCACAGUGGUGAAUGUGCAGAGUCCUAAUCACUAGGUCACCAGGGAACUCCCUAGAGGAGUUAAAUUCUUUAGAUGUGUGACUCAGUCUUUUUUUUUUUUUUUUUUUUUGUCUUUUUUUGCUAUUUCUUGGGCCGCUCCCACGGCAUAUGGAGGUUCCCAGGCUAGGGGUCGAAUUGGAGCUGUAGCCACCGGCCUACGCCAGAGCCAUAGCAACGCCGGAUCCGAGCCGCGUCUGUGACCUACACCACAGCUCACGGCAACGCCGGAUCGUUAACCCACUGAGCAAGGGCGGGGACCGAACCCGCAACCUCAAGGUUCCUAGUCGGAUUCGUUAACCACUGCGCCACAACGGGAACUCCCUGACUCAGUCAUUUUAAUGUAUUUUAUCAAGACAGACUGUAAUGUUUUUCUGAACUUACAAGAUAACAUGAAGGUUAAGUGUCUACACAAUAGCAAACAGCCAGAAGAAAUGUAGAAAUCUGUCCAGAUUAAAGUCAGUGAAAAUAAUGGCAAUGCAAACAAGCUCAGGUCUGGAUGCUUCAAAAUACAUUAAAAGAUAAUUACUCAAUAAUCCAUCAGUUCUAUACCAGUCAUAUUGUUACCAAAACUAGACCUCUUUCCACUGGUGCCAGAU
rnacentral:lncRNA from 1 species